ensembl:snoRNA
UCCUCACUGAUGAGUAGCUUCUGGCUUUUGUUCUGAGAUUACUAAAGCUAGAUGCCAUUCCAGAUAAGA